rnacentral:rRNA from 1 species
GUAGGGUCCGAGCGUUGUCCGGAAUUAUUGGGCGUAAAGGGCUCGUAGGCGGUUUGUCGCGUCGGGAGUGAAAACUCAGGGCUCAACCCUGAGCGUGCUUCCGAUACGGGCAGACUAGAGGUAUGCAGGGGAGAACGGAAUUCCUGGUGUAGCGGUGGAAUGCGCAGAUAUCAGGAGGAACACCGGAGGCGAAGGCGGUUCUCUGGGCAUUACCUGACGCUGAGGAGCGAAAGCAUGGGGAGCGAACAGGAUUAGAUACCCUGGUAGUCCAUGCCGUAAACGUUGGGCGCUAGGUGUGGGGACCUUCCACGGUCUCCGUGCCGCAGCUAACGCAUUAAGCGCCCCGCCUGGGGAGUACGGCCGCAAGGCUA